rnacentral:rRNA from 1 species
CCUACGGGAGGCUGCAGUGGGGAAUAUUGCGCAAUGGGCGAAAGCCUGACGCAGCAACGCCGCGUGAGGGAUGGAGGUCUUCGGAUCGUAAACCUCUGUCAGCAGGGAAGAACGGUCACUGUACUAAUCAGCGGUGAAUUGGCGGUCCCUGCACAGGAAGCAGCGGCUAACUGCGUGCCAGCAGCGGCGGUAAUACGGAGGGUGCGAGCGUUAACCGGAAUUACUGGGCGUAAAGGGCGCGUAGGCGGUAUGUCAAGUCAAGGGUGAAAUCCCCGCGCUCAACGUGGGAACUGCCUUUGAAACUGGCAAACUUGAGUGUGUGAGAGGAUAGUGGAAUUCCAGGUGUAGGAGUGAAAUCCGUAGAUAUCUGGAGGAACAUCAGUGGCGAAGGCGACUAUCUGGCACAUAACUGACGCUGAGGAGCGAAAGCGUGGGUAGCAAACAGGAUUAGAUACCCUUGUAGUC